rnacentral:rRNA from 1 species
GAGUUUGAUCCUGGCUCAGAACGAACGCUGGCGGCAGGCCUAACACAUGCAAGUCGAACGCUCCGCAAGGAGAGUGGCAGACGGGUGAGUAACGCGUGGGAACCUACCUCGAGGUACGGAACAACCAAGGGAAACUUUGGCUAAUACCGUAUGUGCCCGAGAGGGGAAAGAUUCAUCGCCUUGGGAUGGGCCCGCGUCGGAUUAGCUAGUUGGUGAGGUAACGGCUCACCAAGGCGACGAUCCGUAGCUGGUCUGAGAGGAUGACCAGCCACACUGGGACUGAGACACGGCCCAGACUCCUACGGGAGGCAGCAGUGGGGAAUAUUGGACAAUGGGCGCAAGCCUGAUCCAGCCAUGCCGCGUGUGUGAUGAAGGCCUUAGGGUUGUAAAGCACUUUCGCCGAUGAAGAUAAUGACGGUAGUCGGAGAAGAAGCCCCGGCUAACUUCGUGCCAGCCGCCGCGGUAAU